AUUGAUUCUCGGCCUUUUGGCUAAGAUCAAGUGUAGUAACUGUUCUUAAUCCGUUUAAUAUCUGAUAUGUCCACUAACCGAGGACAAUAUACUACAUGAAUUUUUGGAGCGGGGAGAUGGAAUUGUUGUUUGCUCCGUCCACUCCACGCAUCGACCCAGUAUUGCAGUAUCUCCAGGAACGGGGUGCGCUUU